AAACCUGUUAAUAUUUGAGAUAAUUUAAAUUAUAAUUUUUGAAAUGGAUAAUUACAUAAAAAUAAAAUAAAUAUAUUACAUAAGUUGGAGUAUGUAUAUGUAUACAUUUUAAUACGUAUAUAUUGAUGCAAUUACUUUAACUGUAUUCCUAACUAUGUAACAUUUUGUGAUUUAAUAAUGGAUAGGAAAUAUAACAAAGUAAUGAAAAAAGUAGAUGAUAAUUCGGCUUUUUACUUUUAUUAGUUUUUAAUAUUUUACAACAUAACCUUCAUCACAAAAGGUCGAAUAUUCGAAAUCGUUUAAACGAAAUUUGUACAAAAUUAUUGUUUUCGAGUACAGCGUAAUACGUAUAUACAUAUUCUUGUAUUAACGUUUUAAUAGCAAAAGUUUCAUGCUACUUUGGAAGCGUAAUUUUUUUACGAUAACUAUGAUUAAAAUAAAUAACAUCUAUGUAAUAACAUUAAUGUAUUUUCUAGUCUUGCUUCAAUCUUUUAAUGUUAUAUCAUGUAUGCCUUUUAUUUUACCUAACAGUAAUAUAUAUAAAGUAAUAAAUAUUACCAUUCCACUAGUUUAGCUUUUAGUAAGCUUUUUUAAAACAAGCGACAGAUGGCGUUGAUUUAAACAAAGAGAAAAUUUCGCUCGUUCAUCAAAAAGCAGACGAAAACCGCAAGAUUUGGAGUCAGCAGCUGACAGUCUGGUACCAGUCAACAGUACGAAGGGGAGUGUUGGGGUUGGGAGGGCGUGGGUGUAAUUCGUGAUCCGAUUACACGAAUAGAAACUGGGGUCCAACAUUUACCGCAUAUUUAUUUUUAAACAUUGUAAGCAUUCGCUUUGUAAGUUUCGACCGGAUGCUUUUAUAUAUAUAUGUACAUCUAAUGCCGAUACAACCACCUACAUAAUCUGCGCCCUGAGUGACCAGUGUAAGCGCUGAAAUUAAUCUAGUCGUGUUAGAGCUUUUAAGCGAGGCGCGCAAGUUUCUGACAAUUCUGACAGCAAUUAACGAUAAAAUUCUAAAAAGUGUAUAUCUUGUGUUGCGCGAUACUAUUAACUUUAAGUGUAAUUCAACGAAAUCGUAUAUUCGUGUACGUUUCGGAACAAGAUAAUUUUAUUGUCGAGGACGAAAAACAGACGGCAGUAGCGGACAUUUGCAAGUUAUAUCUCGAACAAGAAUUUAUAUCCACUGUACGAGAGGCAUCGGAAAAAUUUGA